CUCUCUCGGCUUUGGAAGAGGAUGGCUGGAGUUGCUGCUUGGGGAAGGGAAUUUGCUGCUGCCACUGGAGCUGCUUCUUCUGCCGUGGCUCCCUCUAAUUAGUGACAAAGCUGUAAUGAUGGGUGAAAUCACCUUCAAGAGGACAGGUGGCCUUCAUUACAAUCUCCAUGCAUUGUUCGCUGAACCUGAAAAUCUCACCAGAAAUACAGAGUUCCACAUAGAGAAGGAUGGGCUCCUGCUUGAUGAAUCUAAAUGACCUCGUAAACCAAGUUUAGGUCUUCAGUAUGAUGGUACAUGGGACAUGCACACCAUAGUCAAAAUGUAGCUGCACACUGAAAUGCACCAAAGGGAAGUGCAUUGGACAGCCCUACAACAUAAUCUCCAGCUACAUAAGGAGAUUUUCACAGCUGGCAGCAGCUAUCUCUAUGUUUAUUAUUAUGUCUACACAUUGAAGUUGGUCCUCUAAUCAAUACAGCAAUAAAAAUUACUACUGCACCUGUGGCUUCUCCUCUCCAAACCCAAGUUCUCCCCUUCUCCAACACCAGCAUUCUUGGGAGCUGAAGCAGCAGGGCUUGAAAAGUUCCAUACAACUUCCCCAUGUUGUUUUUUUGACCUCUGGAGGCAAUGGAAUGGACAAUGAGAGAUGCCAGGGGGGCAGUGAGCCAGUGGACAAUGGGCUGGAGAGACAGUUUCAAUGGGCUUGAGAACCUGGCCCAUAUGCAGGCUGCCUUAUGCUCACUAAUUUUUACCUGCCCUAACCUAGCAGGUCAGAUUCAUAUAGUAUUAGUGUGACAAAACCACCAUGGUCUAUCAUCAAGAAUGAAAUUCCUCAGAGUUUGCCCCGCAUUGGUGAUGGUCACUGAUUAUUAGCUGUCUUUUCAGUGUAUGAAGUUGCUAUUCAGGCAAAUAACUGAAGAUAAAAUAAAGCCUGAAACUGGCAGAGAGGUAAGCAAAAAUAAAAUUGAAAAAAUAAAAAAUUAAGGCUGGCCUUGCUGUGACAAAUAGUCACAAGAAUAAGUGAGCUUUAUUUUUGAAAUGUCUCUAUAAACAAAGACCCCCACACUCAGUCAUUUUCAUUAUUUCAGUUUGGUUUUGCUCUUGUGCACACUAAUAAGAUAUGACUGUACCUGAACUGCCCUAAUGUUAAGAAUUUCCUGGCUGCUGGAGAGCUGGUAAACAUAGCUGUUAUUUUAACAGUCUCCUCAGCAGGCAGGAUAGUGAGCCUAAGCUGAGCAGCAGUUUCUCUAUCACCCCUACCCAGAGAAUAUCUGGGAACAGCAUGGAUUACACACAUGAGCAACCUGAUCCUGGGCCAGGGAAUUCAAAAGUUGAGUCAUGUCACCACACAAUUCAGCAGUAGGCAAGGUCAAAGAUAUCAGGAUGCACUACUGUAGCACUAAAAUCAGGUGCCAACCUAUGCAUAAGACAAUGUCAGUAUAUAGUUUCAAAUACAGAAUGCAGCCUGAAAUAAAUUUAUUUUGAACCUUAGGUCCUGUUUGGAAAAGUGCUCCUACAGCGGAGCUUUCAAACUGGAAAUUACAUCUAGCACAUUAUCUAUAGUUAUUGGGCCAGUCUAGUGAUGCCCCACAGAUUACCUGAUUGAAUAGGAGUGGAAGAACUGAUACUAAAAAUAAUUUGUAGCUACAUUUUUGUGAGUAUGAAGAGAGAAAAAGAGCACAAGUAGCACAUUGCACAUGAAAUAAGCCAUUUUACAGUUACCUUUUUGUUUAAAUUGUUUGGAAAUGGAUCUGUGAGUUUUUUACCUUGGUGAUGUGUUGGGUUUCGGGUUAUUUUGCUUUGAUUUAAUCUUACAAACUGAAAGAUGCUCAUUUGUGACCCUUUAUUGGUUCUUGACUUAAGUGUUUUGGGUGUCGUGAUCUUUUUACAAAAAAUUACAAGUGAGUGAAGCAACACCCUUUGUACUGACCCUUAUCAGACCUUGAAACGUGAGGUUUCAAGAAGCUGCAGAGGUGACCAGUGUAUGAAAUUUAGUUAGACUGUAUUUCACAAAGAAUAUAUCAACAAAUCAUUCAUACAGUAUUAUCCUCCCAGAAUUUUAGGAAAUAUCAGGUAAGCUUUAAGUUUUUAUUAUUCUCUCCUAUUUUUUUCCUCUUCUUUGUUGUGAAGACAUAGUUAAAUAACAUUCAAG